GACAUGUCAUUCUAUUACUAAUGUAUAAAUAAGGGGGAAAAGCUUGAGAUAGGAGGGACUCUUCAGGACUGGUCUCUCCCUCUGAAUGCAUCUUGUGUUUCCCACCAGCAGACGGGCUGCCACUGUGCCACUCGAGAGCCACACUCAGCUUUGAUUCUCAAGUGAACCAGUGGAGGCGUAACUCACAAACAUUAUGCAGUCAUGGAAUAAGAAGCAUGGAAGUCUUUUAGGAAGAUUAUGGCAAAAGAGAAAAAAAAAGGAAAAAGGAAAAUACAAUUUCCUACCAGAGAAAGUGACAGCUCUGUAUGACUCAACCUGGAGCAUUACCCAUUCCCAUCAACAUGGACUCAGUGACUGAUCAGUGCGCCUCUUCCUCUGCAUCUCAGGCAAUAGGGGGGAGAUGGAACAAGAAGACAACAGUGUGACAGCCUUCUGUUCCACUGACUAGGGAUGUGUGCAAAAAGAGCAGCUGGAAUCCCCCAGUCACCCAGCAACCAGGUGAAGAGCCCUCCUCACUACCAGGACUUAGUAAGGGACAAAUCGUGAGGUCUACAAAUGACCGACUAAAUACCCCAGCAUUUCUUGGGGUGAUGUUUGAUUCUACAACAGAAUCACUACACUCUUGAUUUUAAGGAUUCGUGGUUCCCUAUGAAUACUGCCCCAUAUGUGACCUUAAUCAAGUAUACAGUUCAUAAAAAUCUCAAGGUUCAAACUGUCUGUAUCUGUAUCUGACUGCCUACAUCACAAUUAGUAAUUCAUGCUAACUGUAAGGGAUAUCACUUUUUAUAUGUUUUUUGAAUUGUGGAUAUAAAAUGGUUUGAUUCAUCUAAUACAGUUUAGAGCAUGGUGACAUAAUUUACACACUAUUUGAAUUCAUUUUUUAAAAAGUAAAUUCAGAAUAAAUGCGUAAAAUUUACAGUUACAGUGCAGAGUAUAUACUUCUAUUGUUGCCAUGGCAACUCAUUAGGCACAACUGUCAGGUUUAUUGAAAUAUAACCUUCUGCUUAAACUAUCCCAUAAAAUCAUGCCCUAAGGUAGCCUGCCUAGUAUUUUUUCUCUCAUAUAAUUGUUUCCUAUAUUCCCAUAAAACUGAUGAGUGUUAGGAUAACUGAAAUCGUAGUAAUUGAUUUUACAAUAAACUUGUCAUGAAAAGUUUAAUCUAAUUUAGGGCAGCAAGGUUUAAAUGUUUUGUCUAUUUAAUAAUCUUUUGGCUGGCAUCAUGAGGUUAUGUAAAAUAAUACCAUAGAUUAUAUGACCUGCAUAACUGUGCAAUAAACAUGCUAGGUGUCACAUCCAGGAAACUUUGCUGACCUGGGUUCAAAUCUCACUUCAAGCAAUAAAUAAGUGUGAUUUUGCCGGGCUCAUCUUAUGCCUUAUUUCUCAAGAAAAAAACCAAAAACAUUUCUUAGGUGACAGCUGCCAUCUUGGCUGACACACGAGGGACCUAGGGACCUUAAGAGCAGAAAGCAUGAGCUUCCCGAGCUAAAGGGCAAAGGCUUUGUACAUUAUCCUCUGUAUACUGGCACACAGCAGGACCUGUCACACACACUCACCAGUGGCUUUUAUUAAGGCAUUCCCUCUGGCUAAGUCUAGACAAUCCAUUACUAUUACUAUUUUAACCUUCUCUGGCCAAGAUUUUCAAAGUCCUGAUCCUGCAAUUGACUCUAUGCAUGCAGAGUCCACAGAGAGCUCCAUUGACCGUAUUUGUUGGCCAGACCCUUAGAUCUCAGUAACAAUUACAAAUCAAGGACAGAUGGAAUAAAAUUGGUUAAUCUAUUUUUAUAUUCUGAACACAUCAGAAUGUCUGAGGGACAUAGCAUUAAAAGAAUGGUUUGUUUUUUCUUUGUUUGCUCUUACUCAGAAAUGACAGACCAGAUGUUGAUGAUUUAAAACAAAACAAAACAAAACACUUCUACAUGAGGUGAGGCAUGAUGAAUUCCAGGAUUAGAGGACUUUGUUUGACACAGUUAUGGACAUGUAGAAAUUGCAUUCACCAUCUUACCUACCAUGAUCCACAUAAACUUGAUAACCCAAAGGACCAGCAAAAAUCAGUUGUCUUGUAGACAUGGAAUCUUUAACUAGGAGGUUAAACAAAAUUGUAAUGGAAGCAUUGGGAUACCAUAAAGUGGUCAUUUAAGACAAGAAAUUGGCUGUUGGCAGUAAUUCUUAGUGCAAGAUUUGCUGGAAGUUUUUCACUGUAUCAUUAUAAUCAAGUGAAUAAAAUCCAGUCAAAUUUCUUGCUCUCACAUCAUUUCCCAUUCGAUGUUACAUCAAGCCAUAUUACUAUGUUCUCACAAAUCAAUGCCAGAAUAAUUUAUAGCAAUUUAGGACGCAAGAUAACUUCCUGAGGUUUGCCCAAAUGGCGUCACACCAUCAUUGAAAUAUCUCAUUUCAAUUUCAAGUAUACAAUAUGUGCAUUUCCAAGCAUGCCUAAUGGUGUUGACCACUGAGCAGUUUUGGGAAUUUUUAGUCAGUUUCUGAAGAUCUCUUUCUGGAGAACACAAUGGAACUUUUUUGCAAAAUUCCUCAGAUCUCUCAGUGCAUCUGAACACUUUUCAAAAUCUUCACUGCAUUUCCCUAAUGGCACUUCAUAAAACCCUGUGAUUCUUUUUGAAGCUGAUUGGUGUUCUCUACUUCAAUGACCCUUUUCAUAAUUUAUUCCAUAAUUAGCAUAUAUAUCAAAUCUCACAGCAUACUUGAGGGAUUCAAGGUUUCUCAGACUCAAUGAAUGCUUAAUAUUGGCUCUCUCUCAUAGGUAAAAAUCAAGACACCUGUGAGAUGCUUUUUGCUUACAGCAAAAUUUGCAACCUAUUUAUUUCUCCAUUGAGCCUUAUCAGUUGGGAAAGAUGUAUGAUAUAUUUUUCCAUCCCUUUUAAUUUAAGAAUUGCUAUGAGCAUUAUAAUCUUAUAUUGAAAUAAAAACUGCUUACACAAAGAAAAUACCCUCUACAGCAACUGGGGUUGACAACCCACAUAACAGCCAAGGGGAGAUGAAUAGUAAAGCUCAUAAGCACUGAGGUAUAAAUAAUGAAAUUAUUGUCAUCAUGGUCUGAUAUUGAUUAUUAUAUCAUACUGUGUAACUUUAAACGCGACACAAAAUACUUCAAAUAGUACUUCACCUCUCAAUGUUUAUCUCAACUGCUAGAAGAAAAUUACUUUUUCUUGACCUUCUACUAUGGGCAAACCUUUCACGUAUCAUUCAUUGAUCUGGUGCAUUUAUAACAUUAUACAGGAUAGGUGAUGUAUCCAUGAAGACAGAAAUCCUAAAUGAAUUAUAACUGAAGAAACCUUUCUUCAAUAAAAAAGGAUUAACUAUAAUGCAUUCCUAUUCUUUGUUCAAAAAAUAUGAAUGGAAACCGGACAUCUAAAGGAGAAAAUCUGCAAUAGCAUGUGGAUUUCAGUUAAUAUAUUUUUUUUAAAUGCAAAAAACUCUGUUCGCAAUAUAAAACUUACCAUUCACAGCAAAUGUUGCUUCUCUUCAUUAGGCAACUGGAGACAGAGGAGUGCCAUGACGGUGACAAAUUACUUCCAUUGGAGCUAUUGCUAAGGCCAGAUCAUCCGUUUUGAAGCUUCCUAAACAAUGUGUCAACACUUUAAAGAUGUGAACAAUCCAUUCCUAUUCUAUGUGCAAUGGGUGGAGGAAAAAUCCAGUUGUUAAUUUUCCCUCUGACCUGCCAUUUCUAGAAUUUACUACUCUCAAUGACUUGAUACUUCUAAAGUUAUUUCUCCUGACCCAGCAUUUCUAGACCCUAUAUCUCCAGUCAGACAAUGGGAUGAAGUAGUUUCUGGGCGACUUGCAUCAGUACUCCAGCUACAGUCACUGGAAAACUUGAGAGAAGUUUAGAAGCAAGAAAAAUCUACUUUCUUCAAGACAACUUCCUGCAAAGAGCCUGAUUCUGAUCAAUCUUGCAGUAGUGUAUAUCAAUGGCGUAUACUGACAUCCGAGAAGCCAUAAAUGAGAUCAGAAUCAGGCUAAUAACCUUCAGCACUCCAACCCCACCCCGAACACACACUGUAGAUGGAUUUGUGAGAGUGUGAUAUGAUAUCUCUACAUUCAGUAUUGAUGUUGUGUCCAUAUAAGAUAUUAAAUGGGAGAUGUCUGAGAUUGAAAUCAAACUGUUAAGAAUUAGAAUUCUUCACCCAAUAAUUCACCUAUUUUUCAUCAUGUCACACUUUAUUCCAAGACUCAUUUUAAAGUCAAAAUUACACUCCUAGGUUUACAAUGGCAUGAUCUAAAUAAUCUUAUUCACAAUUUUCCACUGAGUUAUGAACAUUUAUGAGACUCCAAAAGUGUUCAUAUUUCUUUUCUGAUAGUAUAUGAAAGACUUCCACAUAGCAGUUCCACAACACACCUAUUGCUAGUUUGCAUAUCAAUUAAAUAAGUGAACCCCUAUCAAAAGCUGCUAAAGAUAUCCCCUACAUUCAGAUAUUUUGUAACAGGAUCAAUAUUUGCCUCCUCUCUUCAGAAAAGGUAAUUUAAAGAAUUUUUUUCCCCUCUGGAAUAAUUUAUUUUAAUAAUUUCCACUUAUACACAGCUGGUCUAGUUUUGUUUGUAGAAUUUAAAUUACUUAUCACUUCACUUGUCUUGUUUAUUUUGACAUAAAAAAAUAUAAGGGCAAAUGUGUUAUCAUCUGAAUGUUAUAUUGUAUAGCUUCAUAAAAUAUAACAUACUAAUCUGAAUAUUUUUAAUAUUACCAAUAUUAUAUCACUGAUAACUGUUACAUCAACUCCUGUGUAUUGUGUUUUUCUUUAAAAUUUUCUGUUCCCACUGUCCUGGAAUUUAAGGGAUGCAAGUAAAAAUAUAAAUAUAAAUAUAAAUAGAAGCCUUUCAUAGUAAAGUAAUUGUUCCCCCCCAGAAAAACGUAACAGUGCACUGUGUAUUCAUUGAUUCAAUAUAUUGCAGCAAUGUCUUUCAUAUUACUUUGCAAUAUAUAGAGUUUCACUGUAUCUGAAUUCACUACAGCAAAUUCCACAGUAUGUAUAUAUCAAAGGGGCACUUUGUGCAAUGAGGAAAAAUCUAUGCUGUUCAGAUUAUUUUUCUCUCCUCAUCUUCAGUGUUGGGCUGCUCUUGUUUUUUCUGAAUGGUUCAACUUUUCUCAGUUUUUCAUCUUGUUUAAUGAAUUUUAAAUUCUUUAAAACAAGUCAAAGACCUGAGAGAAGGAUUCAAAAUAUCCAGAAAAUAUAUGAACUAAAGGUGACAACUAAAACCCCUCAAUAAUGAAUAUAAGUAUCCUACAAUACGUAAGAAAUGAUAAAUUUUGUGUUUGGUUAAUGUAACCUUAUUUAAAGAUUUGUAAUUAUUGAUUACUGUCCAAAAUUAAUUUAAAUAAUUUUAUCAAAUAUUUCAGAGGAUUGUAUUCUCAGCAUUAGAGACUUGCUGAACAAUUUCCCAACUCUUUUGGUUUUGAACUAGAGAAGUCUGAAGUUAUUAAAUAUUCCUCCUUAGUACAUUAUUUGAGCCCCAAACUAUCAACAAUAAAAAUGAUUAAUAAUUUUGUUUACUUAGUACUUAUUUUCUUAAAUACAACUGAUGCCAACACUAAUCACUUAAUCAUAAUCAUGGCUAUUUAUCUGGGUGCUCUACCUGUACACUUCCAUACUGAACAUGUUGUAAUUCUUUUAAGUAUAACUUUGACUCUGAAUUUCCUGGGAUUAUAAUGCUUGGAUUUGGGGUAAUUAUAACAUCCCUGUAAUAUAUUUUACCCUAAAUUGCUGAUAAAUACUCUCAACCUUAA